UACGUAGGGUGCGAGCGUUAAUCGGAAUUACUGGGCGUAAAGCGUGCGCAGGCGGUGAUGUAAGACCGAUGUGAAAUCCCCGGGCUUAACCUGGGAACUGCAUUGGUGACUGCAUUGCUGGAGUAUGGCAGAGGGGGGUGGAAUUCCACGUGUAGCAGUGAAAUGCGUAGAGAUGUGGAGGAACACCGAUGGCGAAGGCAGCCCCCUGGGCCAAUACUGACGCUGAGGAGCGAAAGCGUGGGGAGCGAACAGG
rnacentral:rRNA from 1 species